UUUUUUUUUUAACUUUCCAAGGUUUUGGAUCAUCCAGAAUCAGAUUAAGGAGAUUCUAUUAAUGAUUCCUAUUAGGACUAAUAGGAUUAAUACAGCUCAGAAAUGAGUCCUGUUCAGAAACAAUAGACCUAUUGACAGUGCCAGGGACCUUUUCGAUUCUCUUGGAAGGCAGCCAGCCUGAGGACCUGGUGGGUGCUGGGCCCCAGAGUCUACCCAGUGGGUGGAACGCACCUCCUCAAUGGAGGGCUGCCCACAUGGGUCCAGUCUUCCCCCUCCUGCUAGACCCCUCUCCACAUUUCUGGAAAAACGGCAGAAAAGGCAGUGUAGAUGUCUCUCUCCCCCACCCACCCAGUCUCUCAGGCUUUGGGGCCAUCCUUCCUUCUGAUUCUCAAUGGGAUGAUGUGACCUUUGACCCCGCCUUCUGUGGGAAGUGCAGUCUUCUCUCCAGGCCCCUGGACACUCAGGAGAGACCCUCCUUCUCUUGGGCAGUCCCCACGGCAGCCAGUUUCCUGGUUCUGCUUUGGACUCUAGCAGUGGCCACUCACUCAGGGCUCCUACCACUGCCUCUGGGGGACACUUCUCUUGUCUUCAAGGCCUUCUUACCACGAGCUGCUGUGUGUGGACGGAGUUCACCGGAGGUUUGGGGUAAUGGAGAAAGAUCACCUUAUGGCACAUGUGUGUGAGCUGUCUCUCUCCACCACUCCCCCAUCUUCCACAAGUAUCUCCUUGAAGACGCCACCCCACAUUCCUAUUCGAAGUGAGGGGGGCACUUUAUUUAUUUGUUCAUUCCUCAACAAGUGCUUUUCCAGUGUCUUCUGGGUCCUAGAAACCGUGCUUGAUACUGUGGAACAAGGGAAAACAAAACCUCUGUGGAGUUAGUGUUAAUGGAGAGAAGGUGACGAUUAAAAAAAAAAAAGCAGAUCAAUAUUCAGGUGACGUGGUAGGAAGUGCUACGAAGAACAAGUAAGCAGGUCAGGCAGCAGAGCACCAGGGAGAAAGGGUGCCUGACAGGAAGGAGAGGAGCCUGGGCAGAGCCCACCAAGCAGAGACAGCGCCACACCCAGCCUUGGGUCCCAGAGCUGUUUGGGCACCUGAGGCCAGGGGGCUGGUUAAGGUGAGCUAGGGGAAACCGGUAGGAAAUAAAAUUGGAGGAGUAACCAGGAACGAGAUGAUGUGGGGCCCGGAAAAUGUGGAAAGGUCUGUGGGUUCUAUUCUAAUUGUGAUGGAAAGUCACUAGACAGCUGGGAGGUGAUAACACGUAAUGUAAAAGGAACAUCCAGUUGUUCAUGGAGAACAGGCUGUGGCCAGUCCAGCUCUGACCUGGGAGAUGGUAAGAAGGCUGCCUGAGCAGCCCAAUGGGGGACAGCAGCAGUGUGAGCAAGGGGGCUGCUGACUGUGCUGUUGACAGCUCUCGAGGACAUUAGAGUUAACUAAUAUAUUCACUGGCUCAGGAGUGACAGAAGGGGUCAUUCUCUGACUUUUGAUCUGAGUAGCUGGCAGAGGUGGGUGCUGACCUUGGUAGGAGGCACAGUCUGGAAUGGAGGCAGAAGACUGUUUCCUCCUUUGUGUUGCUGAGUUGGUGCCACGGGGCUGGCUCAGCUGGUGGAAGGCAGAGGCCGGCCAGCCUCUGGGUUUUGCAUGAGUCUGCUCAUAGACAAGACUUUGUAACAGCCUCCAGAAGGAAGGAAAACGUUGUAUGUUGGGAUUACCACAGGAAAACCAAAAGCUGUUCCAGUUGCUGAAUGCCACUCAUUGCAGACCUUGGGUUCAGAUGUGAUCUCAGAAAUAGUAAUGGGGACUUUCCCCUCCAAGCCAGGAGUGCUUCCGCCAUAUUUCCAGGUGGCCACAUACUCUCAUCUCCAAGCUUCCUGCAGAAGGGCCUUACUGAGCAUCUGUUUCUGCACUGGAUGAUAUUGCAUUUUAUAAAGUUCUUUCUUAGGUUUUAAAUCCUCUGUUUUUAAGUUCCACACACUCUAUGCAUGGCUCCCAAAGCUCUCUCGUACCUUAUCUUGUUCAGGUUUCACAACAGCCCUGUCAUGCAGAUUGUUACCCUUGUUUCAUACAUGAAAGCAGCUGAAACGGAAAAGUCAUGGGCCUUGCUCAAGGGGACAGAGUGUAUAGAUGGUGAAGCUGGGACUUGAUCCUAGCCAUCUCACCCUAAACUGAACACUUAGGGUUUCCAUAUGCAAAGAGACUUCUAGAACCUACAUGACAGUGCUCUCUCCGUGAGCCUCAUUCCAUUAAUUUCCAGCGACACUUCUUAUGAGAGGUGAAUGUUAUAAUUGCAUUUUGAUUUCAGUCUCUCUUUGCCCAAUAUCCAUACUCUGUAUUAUAUAGAAAUAUACGUGAAGUUCAUUGCAUAAGUAUGUAUUAUAUACAUAAAUAAAGAUAUAUAUGGUCUCAUGACUGCUAUGGUCUGAGUGUGUCCCCCAAAUUCUCAUGUUGGAAACCUG
rnacentral:lncRNA from 1 species